rnacentral:rRNA from 1 species
ACUGACGCUGAGGCGCGAAAGCGUGGGGAGCAAACAGGAUUAGAUACCCCUGGUAGUCCACGCUGUAAACGAUGAAUACUAGGUGUAGGGGGACUGACCCCCUCUGUGCCGGAGUUAACACAAUAAGUAUUCCACCUGGGGAGUACGGCCGCAAGGUUGAAACUCAAAGGAAUUGACGGGGGCCCGCACAAGCAGUGGAUUAUGUGGUUUAAUUCGAAGCAACGCGAAGAACCUUACCGGGGUUUGACAUCCAACUAACGAAGCAGAGAUGCAUUAGGUGCCCUUCGGGGAAAGUUGAGACAGGUGGUGCAUGGUUGUCGUCAGCUCGUGUCGUGAGAUGUUGGGUUAAGUCCCGCAACGAGCGCAACCCUUAUUGUUAGUUGCUACGCAAGAGCACUCUAGCGAGACUGCCGUUGACAAAACGGAGGAAGGUGGGGACGACGUCAAAUCAUCAUGCCCCUUAUAUCCCGGGCUACACACGUAAUACAAUGGCGGUCAACAAAGGGAAGCGAAGUCGCGAGGCAGAGCAAAUCCCCAAAAGCCGUCUCAGUUCGGAUUGCAGGCUGAAACUCGCCUGCAUGAAGUCGGAAUUGCUAGUAAUCGCGGAUCAGCACGCCGCGGGAAUACUGUCCCGUCUGGGCG